GUACAAGUUUCUUUGAAAGAUAAUAAAUAUUCCGAGAAAGAAAUAUAUGUUGUUUUACCUGAGAAUAACUUGGCGUAAUUAUUUAAUGUGUUUAAUAGUGGUUAUUUAAUUUACGUAAAUGUGUCAUAUCAUUAUGUAUUGGUUUAAAGAUACUGCUCCUUUAGUGAUAACUGGAUUUGUUAUAACAGUGUCUGCAUUUGUAAUACAUUUGAUAGGAUUUGCUACACCAUAUUGGAUAAAGGAUUAUGAUUCCCAUGACGGAUUAUGGAAAGUCUGUGAUGACAUAAACCAUCAAUGUCUCAGUGUUUCAGCCUAAAUUUUAGAUCUACCUGCUAAGUUUAAAGCUACUCAAGCACUGGAAUGUUUAGCUUUCAUUGCUUAUGUUGCUGCUGUUGUGUGUGCUUCACUACAGACAUUUGUUUUGAAACAGAGAAUAUUGUACAUAGUUGGAGCUCUUACCAACUGCGUGGCAGGUGGUUUGAGUUUGAUUGGAUGCAUCAUCUUUUCCACUAUUGAAAACAUUAAUCAUAGUGAUCUUCAUUUCUCGUUUGCAUUUUGUAUCAUAGCUAGUAUCGGAGGAGUUGUAGCUGGAGUGUUCUUCAUCCUGGCAUGGAAAUGGAUACCGGCGAACUGAUAUUAAAUAUUAUAAAUGAGGAAUUUAAAUGACAUAGUGAAUAAUGAACGUUACUCAAUUAGAAAAGUUAAUUGUUGCAAAUGUCGUAUAAA